AAUCUAUGGUGUAGGCAUUUUCUGAGUAGUCCCUUAAACCUCUUCCACGUUUCAUAUAGUGACUCAUUGUCCUUCUGAGUAUAACAAGACAUAUCAACCUUAAACUU